rnacentral:rRNA from 1 species
UACGUAGGGCGCAAGCGUUGUCCGGAAUUAUUGGGCGUAAAGAGCUCGUAGGCGGCCUGUUGCGUCCGCUGUGAAAUCCCGGGGCUCAACCCCGGGCCUGCAGUGGAUACGGGCUGGCUAGAGGCAGGCAGGGGAGAACGGAAUUCCUGGUGUAGCGGUGAAAUGCGCAGAUAUCAGGAGGAACACCGGUGGCGAAGGCGACACGCUGGGCCGUACCUGACACUGAUGCGCGACAGCAUGGGGAGCAAACAGG